rfam:Nomascus leucogenys chromosome 17, whole genome shotgun sequence.
AUCCUCCUAUAGUUCCUCAAUGUGAUGACUGGGUGUUCACACUCAUCGGCGAGAUGUGCCUCCCUCAAACCUUGUUUUUUUUUUUUUUUUUUUUUUGAGA